AAUCAAAUCAAAUCAAAUUUAUUUAUAUAGCCCUUCGUACAUCAGCUGAUAUCUCAAAGUGCUGUACAGAAACCCAGCCUAAAACCCCAAACAGCAAACAAUGCAGGUGUAAAAGCACGGUGGCUAGGAAAAACUCCCUAGAAAGGCCAAAACCUAGGAAGAAACCUAGAGAGGAACCGGGCUAUGUGGGGUGGCCAGUCCUCUUCUGGCUGUGCCGGGUAGAGAUUAUAACAGAACAUGACCAAGAUGUUCAAAUGUUCAUAAAUGACCAGCAUGGUCGAAUAAUAAUAAGGCAGAACAGUUGAAACUGGAGCAGCAGCAGUCAGGUGGAAUGGGGACAGCAAGGAGCCAUCAUGUCAGGUAGUCCUGGGGCACUGUCCUAGGGCUCAGGUCCUCCGAGAGAGAGAAAGAAAGAGAGAAGGAGAGAAUUAGAGAACGCACACUUAGAUUCACACAGGACACCGAAUAGGACAGGAGAAGUACUCCAGAUAUAACAAACUGACCCUAGCCCCCCGACACAUAAACUACUGCAGCAUAAAUACUGGAGGCUGAGACAGGAGGGGUCAGGAGACACUGUGGCCCCAUCCGAGGACACCCCCGGACAGGGCCAAACAGGAAGGAUAUAACCCCACCCACUUUGCCAAAGCACAGCCCCCACACCACUAGAGGGAUAUCUUCAACCACCAACUCACCAUCCUGAGACAAGGCCGAGUAUAGCCCACAAAGAUCUCCG